rnacentral:rRNA from 1 species
AAGCAUCAGGUAACAUCAAAUCGUACCCCAAACCGACACAGGUGGUCAGGUAGAGAAUACCAAGGCGCUUGAGAGAACUCGGGUGAAGGAACUAGGCAAAAUGGUGCCGUAACUUCGGGAGAAGGCACGCUGAUAUGUAGGUGAAGUCCCUCGCGGAUGGAGCUGAAAUCAGUCGAAGAUACCAGCUGGCUGCAACUGUUUAUUAAAAACACAGCACUGUGCAAACACGAAAGUGGACGUAUACGGUGUGACGCCUGCCCGGUGCCGGAAGGUUAAUUGAUGGGGUUAGCGCAAGCGAAGCUCUUGAUCGAAGCCC